rnacentral:rRNA from 1 species
AAAAAUUUGGCGGUAUUUUAGUCUAUUCAGAGGAACCUGUUCUGUAAUCGAUAAUCCACGAUGGACCUUACUUAAGUUUGUAAUCAGUUUAUAUACCGUCGUUAUUAGAAUAUUUUAUAAGAAUGUUAAUUUUCAAAAUUUUUAAAAAGAAAAUAUAUCAGAUCAAGGUGUAGCUUAUAUUUAAGUAGAAAUGGGUUACAAUAAAUUUAUUUAAACGGAUAUAAAUUUGAAAUAUUUAUUGAAGGUGGAUUUGAUAGUAAAAUUAUAAAGAUUAAUAAUUUGAUUUUAGCUCUAAAAU